UGGGGAAUAUUGCACAAUGGGCGCAAGCCUGAUGCAGCCAUGCCGCGUGUGUGAAGAAGGCCUUCGGGUUGUAAAGCACUUUCAGCGAGGAGGAAGGUGGUGAACUUAAUACGUUCAUCAAUUGACGUUACUCGCAGAAGAAGCACCGGCUAACUCCGUGCCAGCAGCCGCGGUAAUACGGAGGGUGCAAGCGUUAAUCGGAAUUACUGGGCGUAAAGCGCACGCAGGCGGUUUGUUAAGUCAGAUGUGAAAUCCCCGGGCUCAACCUGGGAACUGCAUUUGAAACUGGCAAGCUAGAGUCUCGUAGAGGGGGGUAGAAUUCCAGGUGUAGCGGUGAAAUGCGUAGAGAUCUGGAGGAAUACCGGUGGCGAAGGCGGCCCCCUGGACGAAGACUGACGCUCAGGUGCGAAAGCGUGGGGCAGCAAACAGGAUUAGAUACCCUGGUAGUCCACGCUGUAAACGAUGUCGAUUUGGAGGUUGUGCCCCUUGAGGCGUGGGCUUCCGGAGCUAACGCGUUAAAUCGACCGCCUGGGGAGUACGGCCGCAAGGUUAAAACUUAAAUGAAUUGAC
rnacentral:rRNA from 1 species